UACGUAGGGGGCUAGCGUUGUCCGGAAUCAUUGGGCGUAAAGAGCGUGUAGGCGGCCCGGUAAGUCCGCUGUGAAAGUCGGGGGGCUCAACCCUCGAAUGCCGGUGGAUACUGUCGGGCUAGAGUGCGGAAGAGGCGAGUGGAAUCCUGGUGUAGCGGUGAAAUGCGCAGAUAUCAGGAGGAACACCAAUUGCGAAGGCAGCUCGCUGGGACGUAACUGACGCUGGAGAACGCGAAAGCGUGGGGAGCAAACAGG
rnacentral:rRNA from 1 species